CCUGGUCUUGGGUUGGGGCUGUCCCCGCUUGCUGCCCCCUGUCCAGGCUGGCUGCUUUCAGUGCCUUCUCUCCUUGGCAGGACAGGCGCAGACAUGUUACCAGGUGUUACCGGGUGUUAUGCUUAGCUCCGCGCCCAGUGAGAUUCUCUGUCACCC
rfam:Chlorocebus sabaeus isolate 1994-021 chromosome 27, whole genome shotgun sequence.